rnacentral:tRNA from 1 species
CCUGAGGGCCCCGGGCCAGAGGAGGUGGGCUUAGGACCCACUGGCGUAGGCCUGCGUGGGUUCAAAUCCCACCCCCCGCACCA